rnacentral:rRNA from 1 species
UACAGGGGGGGCAAGCGUUGUUCGGAAUUACUGGGCGUAAAGGGCUCGUAGGCGGCCAACUAAGUCACACGUGAAAUCCCCAGGCUUAACCUGGGAACUGCGUGUGAUACUGGAUGGCUUGAAUUCGGGAGAGGGAUGCAGAAUUCCAGGUGUAGCGGUGAAAUGCGUAGAUAUGACAUAGAACACCAAUUGCGAAGGCAGCUGACUACGCGAAUAUUGACACUGAUGCACGAAAGCGUGGGGAUCAAACAGG